ACCAAGAGUGAUCAACUGACCCGGGCAGCCAGAAGAGAUGAUAGGGAUACAUAUUCUUAACGGUGAUAGAGUGGUUUCAUAGAACAAAAUAGGCUGUUCCUGCCCGAGGGAACAUGGACUUCAGUGGAAGAGACACUCAGAAGAGAGCUGCGAAACAAGUAAGAAUUUCAGAUUGUGCUCAGUUCUUUGAAGAAAAACACAUGGGAUAAGUGAGAGACGUGUGACUCUGGGGGCAGAGGCUGUGUGGUCAGGAGGGGGCCCGUCAGUCAAAAGGCCUUGGUUGCCAAGCCAUUGAAACUCCUUCUGCGUCAUGUUGGGCAGAUUACAAUGUAGAUGAUUCCGUAGCUGGGCUGCAGCACCGUCCCUGGAGAGCACAUGACAGGAAUGCAUGUUGGGCAGGAUGUGAAGCUGAGCCCUGGGCUGAAGCAAACUUGACCCCACCUGCGGACAGGACACUUCUGAAGCCGCUGCCUCGGCUUCCACCAGAAGCUGCAUCUCUGUGCUGCUAGAGAUGGAGAGCCCUGUCUUAGCUGGUUCAGUCGGGGCUGAGUGUUCAGCAGCUAAAGCUGCAUGUACUGUGACCUUCUGAGCCAAAGGCAGGGAAAGAUGCUCUCUAAUCCAUCUGGAAGUGAUUUUGGUAUGUGGUAUGUAAAGUAUUUUAAAAAAACAUAUAGUUUGAGUAAAACUGUUGGUGGUAGGCUAAAAGCUCCUUAAAAACAGGAAGCAUGACUGAAUCACUCUGGUUUCCUCCACUUUCCCAGACAGAAGAGUCACCAACGCAGCCUCCUUGCUCAGGCUGCGCUGCCCCAACUACAGUCAGGGACCCCCCCGCCUUCCCUCUGCUGGGAGGCACCAGCCACCUGUGACUAGUGUCCUGACACCUCCCAUGUCCCCAGCAGACACCUGCCACAGUUGCGUUCGGGGAGAACCCGAGCAAUUAGCCAGCAGCGCCCCCUGGCGCCUCUUUCACCGCAAGUGUUCGGCUCUCAACUUGUUCAACCACCCUCCACCCGCUCCACGGGCAACUUUUCCGGGAAGGCGCCUCCAAAGACCUCUGUGAGUAGCGUAGGCUGCUCUGCUCUGACAACCUCUUCGGGGUAAAUUUCUUUUCCAUUUGAACAGCUUCUCCUUAGUUAAGGAGAAACCGUUAUUGCCCGGUUGCUUUUUCGUCUUUUGGAUGGAGAGAAGCAGAGGAAUUCUGGGCGGAGGCCAACGAUUAGCUGCAACAUCUACUGAUCACUUCCAUGAAGUCUUUGAGCCUUUGUAUAAAUAAAACACCAGCCGGGGGCUCCUUCUGCUCCCAUUGAUGCCCGAGUGCCAACUACAGGUUUGACUCUGAGACCCUCCUUAAAAAAUUAGGAAAAAAAAUUUUUAAAACGUUUUUAAAUUGGAUUUUUAUUGCCUAAGGAGGGAUCUGUAAAAUACGUAGAGUGGGAAGAAUGCAGAUAAAUAAGACCUGAAAGUUGUCCUCAAAUAUAUCAAAGCCAUACUGGAUAGUGGACCUGCUGGAGAAUAGAAAAAUAAA
rnacentral:lncRNA from 1 species